AAUAUUGAUAGAGGUGCAGAGAGAUGAGUACCGGAUCCGCAGUCUGGACAGACGAUGACGGUUCGGGGAAGGCGUAUCUGCCGAAGUGUGAAAGACGGUCCGGUCUUCCUCACUGGUGAUCAGCUGAAAAAGCUGCUCAUUGUCACUGUUUAUCAGCAGUGGAGCACUAUCCUGUAU
rnacentral:ncRNA from 2 species